UACGUAGGGUGCAAGCGUUAAUCGGAAUUACUGGGCGUAAAGCGUGCGCAGGCGGUGAUGUAAGACAGGUGUGAAAUCCCCGGGCUUAACCUGGGAACUGCAUUUGUGACUGCAUCGCUGGAGUGCGGCAGAGGGGGAUGGAAUUCCGCGUGUAGCAGUGAAAUGCGUAGAUAUGCGGAGGAACACCGAUGGCGAAGGCAAUCCCCUGGGCCUGCACUGACGCUCAUGUACGAAAGCGUGGGGAGCAAACAGG
rnacentral:rRNA from 1 species